GUGGGGAAUAUUGGACAAUGGGGGGAACCCUGAUCCAGCCAUGCCGCGUGUGUGAAGAAGGCCUUUUGGUUGUAAAGCACUUUAAGCGAGGAGGAGGCUACCGAGAUUAAUACUCUUGGAUAGUGGACGUUACUCGCAGAAUAAGCACCGGCUAACUCUGUGCCAGCAGCCGCGGUAAUACAGAGGGUGCAAGCGUUAAUCGGAUUUACUGGGCGUAAAGCGCGCGUAGGUGGCCAAUUAAGUCAAAUGUGAAAUCCCCGAGCUUAACUUGGGAAUUGCAUUCGAUACUGGUUGGCUAGAGUAUGGGAGAGGAUGGUAGAAUUCCAGGUGUAGCGGUGAAAUGCGUAGAGAUCUGGAGGAAUACCGAUGGCGAAGGCAGCCAUCUGGCCUAAUACUAACACUGAGGUGCGAAAGCAUGGGGAGCAAACAGGAUUAGAAACCCUGGUAGUCC
rnacentral:rRNA from 1 species